AAAGAAAUGACUGGCGGGGGGGCUCCCCACUGCUCUGAGCCUGAUGUCACAGAGCCUUCUCCUCUCCCUCCGCCCUUCCCCCUCUGCUCUGAGAGACUAGCCCCGCCCUACAGUGACGUCACUGUACCCACCCUCUCUCACCAUCUUGGAAGUCUUUGUCUCUGGUGGAGGCUAUGAGUGGGGUGAGCAGCUGGAGGUCCGAGUGCCCCCCCCACUUUCCUUCUCCACACCCCUCCCCUCCGUUACCCCCAUCUUCCAGACUGACAGAUCCGGAGGGUCCUGCAAGUGUCGAAGUGUCUGUGAGCGAGGGCCUGGUGAAUGGGGAGUUUCCACGUACUUUGCUGUGGAACAGAAAGAGGGGACUGUUCCUGAACCUGCGGAUCUCUGUGAUUUACAGCCUGAAAGAAAAGAGUUGUUUUAAUGUGCACUUCUCUAAUUACAAGGAAUUUGGAGCAUUUUGUCUCCCGUUUGUAGAGGACACUGAGCCAGAAAAGAGGAUGUGCCUCUCUCUUGUCCAGGGUCUGCAAGGUUUAUAUUAUAUAGGAUUUAUGCCAGAGUACCCUCACAUGAACAGCCAGGGCAGACAAGCUGCCUCCCUUGGUGCCCCAAUCUCCCUCACCCCCUUCCCCGCCCAGAUCUUUGUCUCCUUUUGGCGGGAGAAAAGAGGCUGAGCCCCGCCCUUUCCCCAGACCAGCCCUUUCUUUCUCUGCUCUGGGGAUUGAGAGGAAUCCAAGCGCCAUUCAAGGGUUGCUGGUUUGCAGAUCUUGCUGCAGCUUCUGUGCUCUCCCCUUUCUUGGAGCCCAGGACAGCCCUCCCUCGACCUCCCCCUUCCCUUCCUUCUUCCCCCUCCCAGUGUCCCUAAAGGGGCCCACCUUCAAGAGCUCCUAGCUGAGCUGAGCUGCUGCCCCCACCCCCAGUCCCAGCAGCUUGCUCUCAGGAGCCUGGGAACCGGAUCAGCCCCAGGGCCACUUCCAGAUGGAAGACGCACCUGCGGCCCACUUCCCUGGUCUGUUUGGCUGAUGGGGGCAGAAAGAAAUGACUGGCGGGGGGGCUCCCCACUGCUCUGAGCCUGAUGUCACAGAGCCUUCUCUCCCUCCGCCCUUCCCCCUCUGCUCUGAGAGACUAGCCCCGCCCUACAGUGACGUCACUGUACCCACCCUCUCUCACCAUCUUGGAAGUCUUUGUCUCUGGUGGAGGCUAUGAGUGGGGUGAGCAGCUGGAGGUCCGAGUGCCCCCCCCACUUUCCUUCUCCACACCCCUCCCCUCCGUUACCCCCAUCUUCCAGACUGACAGAUCCGGAGGGUCCUGCAAGUGUCGAAGUGUCUGUGAGCGAGGGCCUGGUGAAUGGGGAGUUUCCACGUACCUUGCUGUGGAACAGAAAGAGGGGACUGUUCCUGAACCUGCGGAUCUCUGUGAUUUACAGCCUGAAAGAAAAGAGUUGUUUUAAUGUGCACUUCUCUAAUUACAAGGAAUUUGGAGCAUUUUGUCUCCCGUUUGUAGAGGACACUGAGCCAGAAAAGAGGAUGUGCCUCCCUCUUGUCCAGGGUCUGCAAGGUUUAUAUUAUAUAGGAUUUAUGCCAGAGUACCCUCACAUGAACAGCCAGGGCAGACAAGCUGCCUCCCUUGGUGCCCCAAUCUCCCUCACCCCCUUCCCCGCCCAGAUCUUUGUCUCCUUUUGGCGGGAGAAAAGAGGCUGAGUCCCGCCCCUUCCUUAGACCUCCCCCAACACUUUCUCUGCUCUGGGGAUUGUGAGGAAUCCAAGUUCCAUUCACUACUGCUUUGCAGAUGCUGCUGCAGCUACUGUUCUCUUCCCUUUUGUGGAGCCCAGGGCACCCCUCCCUCCACCUCCCCCAUGCCCUCUUUGUCCUCCCCCUCCCAGUUUGCAUAAAGGGGCCGAUCCUCAAGAACUGCAAGCUGAGCUCUGCUGCCGCUUCCCACCCCAUUCCCAGCAGCCUGUCCUCGUGAACCUGGGACCCUGGUCAGCGCCAGGGCCACUUCCACGUGGAAGAUGCACCUGCGGUCCGCUUCCCUAUUCUGUUUGGGUCAUGGAGGUAGAGAGAAAUGACUGGGAGGGCUCCCCACUGCUUUGGGCGUGAUAUCAGGAACCCCCUCCUCUCUUCCUUCUUUGCUCUGGAGGAGACUAGCCCCGCCCUGCAGUGACGUCACAGAGUCCCGGCCUGAAGGAGGGGGUGGGGCUCUCCUACCUUCUAUUAAGUGGUGUCCCAUGUAUUCCUCCCUCUCCCUAUCCUCGAGAGCCAUGCCAUGUGAGGAAUGGUAUUUCUUGAUUAGGAAGGAAAAGAAAAGUGAGCACAACUGAUGGAUGCAUUUGGGAAAAGAUGUGCAAUGUGUAACACCUGUGGACCUCUCACCUGGAUGGGGGAGCAAAAGCAAUCAACACAACUAAAAUACUAUACAGAGGAAAAGAUAUUUGUGGCAGGAGACAGUCUCUCUGAGAACAUUCCAAUUACUGCAGCCUUGCUCUCUGUGGAAGCGCAUCUAGUCUCAGAAUACUCAGUGGAUGAAAUACUUAUAGGUGGAGACACCCACGCUCUGAGAAGACUCAGAGGAAAAGAUACUUGUGGCAGGAGAUAGUCUUUCGGGGAACAUUCCAGUUACUGCAGCCUUGCUCUCUGUGGAAGCACAUCUAGUCUCAGAAUACUCAGUGGAUGAAAUACUUAUAGGUGGAGACACCCACGCUCUGAGAAGACUCAGAGGAAAAGAUACUUGUGGCAGGAGACAGUCUUUCGGGGAACAUUCCAGUUACUACAGCCUUGCUCUCUGUGGAAGCACAUCUAACAUCAGAAUACUCAGUGGAUGAAAUACUUAUAGGUGGAGACACCCACGCUCUGAGAAGACUCAGAGGAAAAGAUACUUGUGGCAGAAAACUCUUUGGGAACAUUCCAGUGUAAGAAAGAAGCUGGGAAGCCUCUCUGGGCAAAGAAACCUGUCUGUAGGAGAAACUUAG